AAUGGCUGCCUGUGAUUGCUCCA
rnacentral:snRNA from 1 species